rnacentral:rRNA from 1 species
UACGGAGGUGGCAAGCGUUAUCCGGAUUCACUGGGUUUAAAGGGAGCGUAGGUGGGCUGGUAAGUCAGUGGUGAAAUCCCCGAGCUUAAACUUGGGGAACUGCCCAUUGAUACUAUCAGUCUUGAAUACUGUGGAGGUUAGCGGAAUAUGUCAUGUAGCGGUAGAAAUGCUUAGAUUAUGACAUAGAACACCAAUUGCGAAGGCAGCUGGCUACACAAUUAUUGACACUGAGGCUCGAAAGCGUGGGGAGUCAAACAGGA